rnacentral:lncRNA from 1 species
AUUUGUUGGAUUUUAUAUUAAUAUACAUUUAUUUUUAAAAUCAAUUUGAAUGUGACUCGAAAUUUCUGGAUUAAAAACAGUUCGGACCGCACCGAAAUAUGCAAAAUUUCAGAUAAUUUUUUAACCGUGGACACAAUAAGGGUUGUAAUGCUAACAAAAAGAAUAUGGGUUCCACAAAAAAACCUUAAGAAUUAGCAAAUGGGUUGUAAAUUAUUAGAAAUAAUGGCAGAUGGGAUGUAUGAUGUUUUCCACAAAUUUGAGGCUUUCCUAAGAAAAAGGUUGACGCACAAGCAGUGUCUGUUGAAUGUAUAUCCAACGGCCGUCGUGCUUCUUCAAUCUCUGCUCUUCCUGCUCCAGCCGCUCAAACAAGCGCCGACGGGACUGCCUUCUCCCUCCUCCCGCGGUCCGCUGCGCUGCCGCGCGGGCCUCACCGCCCCACCGUACUCCCAUCGCUGGCCUAGCCAUCCCUCUACUCCCCUCGGCGUGGGCAUCCACUGCUGCGUCUUCCCCGGCUCCGUGUCAUUCCCUUCCUAGGCCUCAUCGUCGUCCACCGCCCUGGAGCUCUCGGCGUGGCGUGGUCAACGUGGUCAACAAACGACAUCCAUCGAAAGUGGAUGGUGCGUGGAGAGGCUGACAGCUGGGUCCAUGGUCAUAGAAAAAUGAUGAUUCAUCCACCUAACAACUAGGACCCACCAGAAGGGCCUCUGUAUUUCAAAAAAAAAAGUUCCCCCCAAUGACAGCUCGGAUCCGCCAGCUAUAUCUUCGCACGCAAGGAAGUGCCUCCUUAUUACGCACAAAAAAAUGAAUCCCCCUGCUAGCAGGGACCCACCAUAGUGUGAGGCUGACUUGUGGGCCUACUAAGUUGACGGGGAUGGAGGGCUUUGUCAACUUAGUCAAUAUGAACAAUUCUAGCUCCAGUGACCGUACGCUGUUCAUCCAACGGCCGUAGUUCUUCUUCAACCUCUUGUCUUCUUGCUCCAGCCGCCCAAACCAGCGCCGGUCGUGCCGCAUACUCCUGCCUCCCAUGGCCGGCUGUGCUACCGCGGAGGCCUCACCACCCCUACUAUUCCCACCGCUGGCCAGGCCCUGCGGCGACGGCAGCCUCACACCGCAGCCGAACCAGUGAACCCUCGUACUCCUCUCCGCGUGGGCAUCCACUGCCGCAUCUUCCCCGGCUCCGCGCCGUCCCCUUCCUAGGCCUCGCCGUCGUCCACCGCCUUGGUGCUCUCAGUGCGACAUGGUUACUAUGGUCAACGAACGAGUUCCAUCGGAAGAGUACUAUACGUGGAGAGGCUGACAGCUGGGUCCCCGGCCGCAGCAAGGAAGUGCCUCCAUAUUACGCGCAAAAUAAUGAUUCCUCCACCUGACAGAAGGGACCCACCGGACAGGCCACCGUAUCUCGUGAAAAAAAUGUUUCCCCAUGACUGCUGGGACAAACCAGCUAAACCUUCGCACGCAAGGAAGUGCGUCCAUAUUACGGGCAAAAAAAUGAUUCGCCCCCUGACUGCUGGGACCCACCAGUUACAUCUUCGCACGCAAGGAAGUGCCUGACAGUUGGGACCCACCUAGUCGAAGCGUACGUAGCGUUGUCAUUCUGGUCGUGAACAUGUAUGUACAUACUGGUCGAUCGGUCUGUCUGCAGGCUGUAGUGAUGAACCGUGGCCGUGUAAGGAAGGGCACGUGUCGUAGUAGAGGCGCGCACGUAGCAUGUACACGUACGUAUAGCCAGGGUGCAAUAAAGUAAAUACGACCACGUACGUACAUACGGGCGGGGUCUCGAACGCCUAAUCGCGCAUACGUACGGCCAGGGCUCGUGUACAUGGCUGGGUCGGAACGGAGAAACUACGUUGUCGUCAUGUUCAUGGGGAGGCAACGGAAUGCGUCGUGUUCAUCGGGAGGCAACGAAAUACGUCGUGUUCAUUGGGAGCAACCGGCUUGGAUGAAACAGCCGAUCGAAUGAGUCCUGGCACACCACAGAACAAAGGGAACGGCUUUGUGUUCGACCGGCCACGGUCGAAACGGGAUCCUGUUCAUCGGGAGGGGUCUGGCGUACCGCAAAACAGAGGAAACAGACUUCUGUUGGACCUCCUACGGUUGAAACAGGGUCCUGUUGAUCGGGAGGGGUGUGGCGUACCGCAAAACGGAGGAAACGGACUUGUGCGGGAGCGCUACGGUCGAAAUGGGUUCUGUUCAUCGGGAGGGUUGUGGCGUACCACAAAACGGGACUCCACGGGAUACUGUUCAUCUCCACCGUCGACCUCCUCCAGCCUCCACGGGCUACUGUUCAUCCACCGUCGACCUCCUCCAGCCUCCACCUGCGACUGUUCAUCCACGGGCUCCUGUUCAUCCAGCCUCCACCGCUCCUCCACCGGCUACUGUUCAACCAGCCCUCUCCACGGGGUCCUGUUCAACCACCCCUCCACGGGCUAGUGUUCAUCCAUCCCUCCACAGGCUACUGUUCAACCAGCCCUCCACGGAGUCCUAUUCAUCCAGCCCUCCACGGGGUCAUGUUCAUCCACCCCCCCCCAUCAGGAACUGUUCAUCCAACACCCCCCAACAAUGCUCACUGUUCAUAAAGAGGCAGCAUUUUCGAUCGGCUUCAAUUAGCAGGAGUAGCGAAGGAAUCGCUCGAUCGGGUUCAGUUAACAGCCAUCGAUCGAUCGCUCGGGUUCAGUAACGCGUAGCCUGCAGUGCAAUCGCUCGGGUUCAGUAGGCGAACGCCUCGCUCGGGUUCAUUUAGAGACUAACGCCUCGCAACCACGUUCGUAUGUGUAUGAGACAAACGUGCAUCGCUCGGCCCCCGACCACCCACCUUAACCGAGAACUCUCCGAUAUUUUCCUCGCCCUCGCUUCUACCACAGUUUUUUUCCGUCAUGGACGGCCCAAAGAAUGUCAUGCAGCUGCGUCUCCAGCCCGCCCAGGACGAAAAGCCCAUUUUCUGUCAUGAUUUUUUGUCAUAGAAGUAGGAGGCCACCACAUCCACAAUGAUACCGGUUUUGUCACAAUUAUCGUCAUAGGAAGUGUCAUAAGCAUGACAGAGAAAAAAAUUGUUCGGCCCAAAAUGUCACGGAUGUGUCUUUUUUUGUAGUGUACCCACGAAUACUUGUCAACCUCACAAUCCCAUGAGUUGACGAAAUGAGCACUAGAGAGCAAUGAUGAUUUGGGAUCCUGUGGAUUGGUUUUCACACCAUUUCCAUUGCGCAAUGACUUCACGCAUUUCUUCUACAUGGCCCUCACAUGGUUAUGGGUUGUUGUCCACUACAUAUUCUAUGCCCAUCUUGCCAUGUUCACUUUGCAUGAUAUGAUCAUUCCUACGCAUUUGCCAUGCAUUUGUAACCCAUGCUUUGCAUUACAUAUGAUGAUUGAUUCUCAUACUUGUAUGUGUAUUUGCAAGUUUGGUGGAGAUAUUGCUUGUUAUUGCCAUGUUCCAUUUGUGACCCAUACCUAUGAUGAUACUUUGACCAUGGUUUGCUUUCUUGCUUGCGAUAUGUGAUGUGCAUUGCCUAUAUCCACUAUUUGCUUACAUGACAUGAUUGCCAUUGUUUCCUCUAGUGUGUUUCAUCUUUGCUCCACUAGUUUGCAUGACAUGAUCAAUUGCUAUGUUGCAUCACACCAAUGAUUCAUACUUGCUCGUUUCAUGCGGUUGAUAGCCCCUAUUGCCAUGCUUUGCACAUGAUUGAUAUUUCUUGUUGGCAUAUGUCUCCAUAUGUUGCCUCUCUCAUGCUAGAUAAUUUGACAUGUAUUGAGUGCAACAAUGAUUAUGGUCUUGCUCAUGAGAUUGCCCCCAUAGCAUUCUUGCAUAUAUUUUGAGAUUUUGACCUAUUUCUUGUGAAGCAUGAUUGCCUUUCUUCUUUGCACCAUAUGCCUACGGACAUGAACAUUAAGAUUGUUGCAUCAUAUUCUUCAUGCACUUAUGCUUAUAAUGGUUAUGUGCAAAAGAUGAGAACCAUCAUGAUGGAUGAUGUGUUUAUCUACCAUGCACAUAUGUUCUUUGUUUGUUGUGUGCAUGUGUAGGAUACUUCGACUUGGUGUCAACUUCCACUUCCCGAGAGUUAACCAUUCGAGCUCUUAAGAGCGAACCAACUUCGCUCAUGACGCUUCUACAUCAUACUUUCUUGUGCUUCGGCAUUGUGAAGGACGCACAAGGGCAUGCUUUCAAGGUGAUAUCCUUCUCUUUUGAGAACCCCCAAACCAUGAGCAUGAAUAUUGUGGAUCCCACUUCAUGUGUUGCUUGCACAUUGACAUAAUGCACACAUGCUAGAGGUCUUGCUUCGACUUAUCAUUGCCACAUUACCAUGCCUCAUGACAUACAUACCUUGUGUGUUGCAUCCAAUACUUAGAUUACUUGUUACUAUCAUAUGCUUGGUUGCAACAAUGUCAUUUCUUCACAUAUGCCAUGUCCCAUUGCUUGUCACAUGAUUGACUUGUUUGCCUCACACAUGAUGUACAAUUGCUCUUUCUAUUAUUUCGAGUGCCACACUAUAUUCACUACACCCCAUGCAUGUUAUGCUUGGAUUGUCUUGCACUUGACCCAUGUGUUUAGACACUUCAUUUUAUUUGGUGUUGUGAAUGUUUCCUAUGCCUACCACAGACCUUUCAUCGAGCGCUUUGUGCAUGCUUGCUAUGAUCUUGAGGUAGAUGCUUGUUCCCUUGUCACACAUAUUAGCAUCUCUACUUCUCAUUUGCAUGCUUGUUUCUAUGAUGCCCUUGAAUGUGCUAAAUUUAUGAGCUUACAUGCCAUGUCACAAACCUUUGUCACACCCUAUGCUAUGCUUGAUGACAACACUUGUUGGGUGAAUCACCUCUUGAAUGCUUGGUUUUGCACUAACGCUAACCACAUUCAUUUUCCAAGUGUUUGUUGUCCUUGAUCCUUUUGAAGGAAUCACAAGACGGUGCGGCAUUGGAGAGUGCCCAUUUUGAGCUUCGAGAUGAUGAAUGCUUGGUGAUCGUCCACUGCUACACGGCGAUGCCAUCCCUUUCCCAUGGUGAUUUGCUUUUUGAUCCGAGGACAGAUCUUUCCCAAGGGGGAGGGGAUGAUGCGGAGCAUCCUACGGACAUCACCAUGUUAAGAGUCCAUUUGGCAAGUGACACGUACCACAUCUACUUCACAAACACAAAGGUGAAUCAUCUCCUUUACACCUGUUCACUUGACCCCUUCGAGGAUGGUAUACUACUUGACACUCCUCUCGUGUGCAUGCAUAGGUAUUAUCAGAGCACCACGAAAGACGAGGAAGAGUGCAAGCGCAAGUGUAUGCCUACACCGUCCGCGAGGGAGGCUUGGAAGCGACGACGGAAGAAGACGGUACAACAGACAAAACAAUGCAAAAUUUGCACUACCGGACUGUCUGGUCCAUCCAGUGAGCAGUUUUGGUCCAUGCAGGAAUUGCACUACCGGACAGUCUGGUCCCCCAAGCGGACAGUCCGGUAGUACAUUUUCUGGACGCCCAAAAGUUUCUGUUUCCACCGGACUGUCCGGUCCCCCGUACCGGACUGUCCAGUAGUGCAUCUGCGGGCCGGAUUUGGGAAAGGCCCAUGUAACUUUACCCUUUGGCCCUCACUUACCCCUUCCUUGCCUUGGACCUAUAUAUAUCCCUCCUUCUCCUCCAUUUUAGUGUUAGCUAAGAAUCACUACAAAAAAAUACACUUCCGUGAUGAUAUGUGUUUGUCACAGUAGGUCGCGUUUUUUGUCAUGCAUGUACAUCCAUGACAAAUUUAUGACAGAAUCAAGAUAGUCAUACCUGUGCUGUCGUAGAAGUGUUCCAUGACAUUACAAAAAUUAUCAUCACGGAAGUGUCCACUUCCAUGAUGAUAAAUCGCGCGUCACAGAAGUGCUUUCGUCAAGGGUGACCGACACGUGGCAUCCACCGUAACGGAACGCCGUUAAGCUAUCGGGUCAGCUUUUGGAUCCGAUAGACCAAUGGGAAUUUUCCAUGUGUAAAAUCAUCAUUGGCUGGAGGAAAGACGUGUCGACUCAUCGUUGGGACAGAUGUCAUCCACUCGUUGGACAGAAGGCGCCUAUGAUACGUCGACACGUGGCACGGCCCAAUAGAGGCCCAUUCCUAUGAAAAGGCCAGCCCGUUUGACUUGGUCAAAAGGUGGCGGGCCGGCCCAUGGAAAGCCUGUUAACGGCCUGUUCGCAUAUAGCCCAUUUACAGCCCGCUAACCCAAGGCCCGUUACGCCCUCUCCGAAUUAGGCCCAGUACCGUCAUCUGGGCCAUCCAAUAUGAUUCUAGCCCGUUUUCACUUCUGGCCCAUGUAUGGCCCAUGACGUCUUUCGGCCCAUAUGAGGCCCUAUGUAACUCUUGGCCUAUUAACGGCCCGUGGUGAAACUGGCCUGUAAUGAACAGUGUAUCACUUUACACCCAGUAACAGCCCGUGGUGAAACUAGCCCGUAAUGAAUAGUGUAUCACUUUAUACCCAUUAACGGCCCGUUAUUCCGUUGGGCCGUUUCCAGCCCAUGUUAUCUUUGGGCCUUCUCAGAUCCCAUUUAUUCUUGGGCUCAUUUCCAGCAUUCGUAUACUUACGGCCCGUUAUUGUCAUUUUCUGCUUGUGGGCCAAAUUCAGCCCGUGGUUACAGUCGGCCCGUUUGUGGUCUGUUAAUACGUUGGGCCAUUUUCAUAGCGUCAUCAAAUACGACCUAUUAACGAUGACCCGUUAUGGUCGGCCCAUGAACGGACGAUUUCAACUCUAGCCCGUUUACGGCCAUAAUGCGGUCUGUUUGGCCCAUGUUUGGCCAAUCGAUCAUACAGCCCGUAUAAGGCCCAUUGAUGAUAUGGCCCGCAGAAGGCCCAUUGUUUCUACGGCCCGUAGAAGGCCCAUUGUUUCUACGGCCCAUAGAAGGCCCACUGUUUCUACGGCCAGUAGGAGGCCCAGUGUCACUACAGUAAAUAUUAGCCCAUGGUUAUUGUGGCCUAGUUUUAAAAAAUAGGUUAUUGCAGCCACUAGCUAACCACGGAAAAAGAACUGCAAUUACCACCAGCAAACAAAUAAACAAGACAACAAGGAAAUAAAUAAGCAAGCAACUAGCGCUAGGCUAUCACGGCUAUUACACAUAUUACAUCCACUGGGCAUCAAAGUCCGCCACCAGUGCAAAUAUAGGGAACAAAGCAGCAUAUCAUAUACACUGGUUGUCAAAGUUGGCGACCAGUGCAAAUAAACGCCGCAGCAAAACAAAUCCAGAACUGAAACCACUUCAGAAGAUUUCAAGAAACAAUAUCCUGGGUACCCAUAAUGCUGGCAAGAUGCUUAGCAAGCUUAUUAACUUUCUCUUGUUUGGCGCUUAAAUCCUCCAGCUCUUGCUGUUGCACCAGAAAAUAUGCAUCUGAAUUCUGCAGGGACUUCCUUGGUCCUUCAGCUUCCUGUCGCAGCACAUCUGAUCAAUGUCUUUCAACUUGAAGUUGAGACUCAAGAAGACGAACUGAUUCAGGCAGCGAGUUCGAAGAACUUGUGCCAGCAGUAGUGGCCAGUAACUCGAACACUACACCAAGACAGGACUUUUGGGUUUCCUCACUGUCCUCAAGAUAGUUUUUAUCAGCUUUCUUGGAGACCAACAGGGAUGUCUCACUAUCUUGAACCUUAUCUACAUUACUUCCUUUACCAUUGGAUAACGCGGUACUGUUCUCCAAUAUUUUGUCCGCAUUCUAAAAGAGAAACAAGCAGACACAUCACAUGUUUACCAUGUUGUAUAUGAAACUCAUUUUGGUAAAUGAGUUCAGUAGUAAAGUGGACAGGAUAACAGCAUGAAACAAACAUAUAUCUAUGUACCAUGGUCACUUUAUGGUCUAUAUCAUUCUAGUUUUUGUUGCCAAAUCAAGAUAGAGACACAGUUCAAAUAAUAUUUGUUCAAGACAAAGCAGAAUAGACAGAAUAUAAGUGUGGGUAACUAUUGAGCAAUAACAACACUUGUAAUGUGCAUGACAUGAGAACAUAACUAUUUAUUCAAUUGAAACUGAAAUCAACAUAGAGCAGGUUACAAAAGCAAACGAGUUAAAGAAACAGGUUUAAAACAUACCUGUUGCGCCAUUGGAGUUUCAAUUCCAUCCUUCAAAUUUGAAAAUAGUUGGUAUGAGUAAAUACAGUAAUGCAAGAGCAAAGGAGUAUGAACCAUAGCUACAGAACCUGACCUGAGAACAAAUCUUCUUCUCCUUUAAGCGUUGAGUUGGGAUUCGGAGUGGUGGUCCUUGUGCUUUGGGCACUGCAGUUCCCUUACUAACUGCUCGUGUUUGGGUGCUCUGUGGUGGAGAUGGUGUUGUGUCAACUGGAACUGGGUUACUAUCUGCCGGGGUUGGGGUUAGAAGGGGUGUAGCUGGUUCUCUGUCCAACUAGGAAGGGGUACAAUCUGCGAGAGUCUGGAUUAUGUGUGGUGGAUCUGGUCCUUGGGCAAGUACAACCGUGGUUCUAUCUGCAUCACUGGUAGCACUAUCUUUUCUGAAGACCGUGUUGUUACUCCCUUAGAGACUGCCAUCACGCUCUCCAAUUCAAAUGGCUGAUAAACAAGAAAAGUAAUUGAAAGUAUAGACAUUGUAUGAUAGACAGGUGCAAUGGAUAGUGGGGAAUAAAAGAGGGCAUGAAAUAAUUCAUAUUUAUGUUGUCUAACCAAACAGGAUAGCAUGACACACUUUCACAUAUAUGAUGGCUAACUAAACAGGAUAGCAUGACACACUUUCACAUUACGAUGGCUAACUAAAAAAGAUGGAAAGACAUAGUUCAAAAUAUGAGACUAUGUAAACAGGAUGACAUGACAUAACUAUAUAAUGUGUUUAUUAAAUAGGUUGGCAUGCCAUAAUUCACAUACAUUCACGGAUAGAAUGCCAUAAUUCAAAAUAUGAUGACUGUAAACACUAAACAGGAUGAGAUGAUAUAACUAUAUGAUGUCUUUAUUAAAUGGGUUGCCAUGCCAUAAUUCAGAUAGAUGUUGUGUAUGUACUAUGUAAACAUGAUGGCAUGAUAUAAUUCAAAUAUAUGAUUUAUAUAGUAAGCAAGUAAGCAGAUGGCAAUCCAUAUAUGAUGUAAGAACUAAGCAAUGCAAGACAACAUGCAUGACAUGGGUAAUAUAACCCUGCCAAGUUUGAGCAUAGACCUCAGGGGGGAAAUAGGACUGGUCAUCAGUCUCUGAAUCCUCCUCUGAGGAGCUCUCUGUAACCAGCAAGAUGUCUGCUUCAGCAGGUAGCAUUGUCUGCUCUGAAUACCUUGUUUUCACUCCAGACACUUCCAUCACCGCUUCAAAUGGCUGAUGCACAGGAAGAGUAGUUGAAUAUACAAACGUUGUCGACAAAUAGAACACGUAAUACAAAAAAAUGAUAGCAUGAUAUAAUUCACAUACAUGAUGAUUGGCUAAACAGCAUGGCAUUGCAUAAUUCACAUAUAUAAUGCCUUUGCAACAAGAUAGCAUUGUAUAAUUCACAUAUAUAAUGUCUUGCAACAAGAUGGCAAUGCAUAAUUCACAUAUAUGGUAAUUAGACACUGGACAGGUGGCAUUCACAUAAAGCAUGUCUAAACUAAUCAAAUGACAUAGCAAUGCGAGACACCAUACGCAUGAUAUGAGCAACAUAACCCUGCCAAGUUAGAGCAUACACCUCGGGGGGGGGGGAUAGGACUGGUCAUCUGUCUCUGAAUCCUCCUCUGAGGAGCUAUCCGUGACCAGCGAGAUAUGCGGUUCGUUAGAUAGCAUAGUCUGCUCUGAAGACCUUGUUUUCACUCCAGAAUUUGCCAUCACCGUGUCAAAUGGCUGAUGCACACGAAGAGCAGUUGAAUGUACUAACAUUGUUGACAAAUGUAAUAUGUAACGAAAAAAAGGAUGGCCUGAUAUAAUUUACAUAUAAGAUGACUGGCUAAGCAGGAUGGCAUUGCAAAAUUCACAUAUAUGAUGCCUGGCUAAAUGAUGGCGUUGCAUAAUUCACAUAAACGAUGAAUAAACUAAACAGAUGGCAUUCGCACAAAGGACGUCUAAACUAAGCAGAUGACAUAUUUGAUGUAUAAAGUAAGCAAUGCAAGACACCAUAUGCAUGAUAUAACCAACAUCAGCAUGCCAAGUUAGAGCGAAGACCUCAGGGGGUAAAUAGGAGUUUUCUUCUCCUUCUGAAUCCCCCUCAGAACAGAUAUCUUCCUCUCGAUUACAAUCCAAAAUGCGUGGAGGGGGGGCUGCCUUUGCGCCUACCAUGGAGCGACGUCUGCAUGAAAUUUUAUUUCCACGCAAGGCUCGUCUCUUUUGCUCUACAUGUUCAGUUCCAUUGUAUACAAUAACUGUCAUGCAUAGGAAUAAAACAUAGUGAGAUUAUGUAAGGAGUGCAUGCAGAAAUCCAGAGUGAUGGUAGCAACCUAUGGAUAGACCCAAAACCAAUAAUAGCAGGCAGAUAAUGGCUUCAGUUAAAAAAUACAGAUAAUGGCUUCUUUACUGUUUGUUUCCCACCCAACAUGAAACUCAUAGUAGACACCGGAGAUUAACUAGAUAGUAGAUAGAUACGAUUGAUAGCGGCCCCGAUAUGUACCCCACAACCAUUUAAAAACUCAAGUUUGACCAUUAGUUUGGAGCUGACUCAGAGUCUAAUCGGUGAACAGGACAAUAAAGUAGCAUGUAAUAUUAAGCGAUGCAUAACGUACGCAGACACGAAAGAGUGCGACCUCUCUUGCGGACCCGUGUAGUCCUCGAGGUCAUCUACUCGGUUGAUGAUGGUAAUGCAGUUUUCAUGGUUGCCAGCGGCGGGGAAGAAGAUCUGAGGCGGCGAAAGACAGUCUGGAGGCCGGAUCCCUGCUGUGCUGGACCCUUCUGUCGUUGGAGCAGCUGAGCUGGGGUGGACGACGGCGCAGCAGGAGCGGGACAAACCAUGCAAGGUUUUCUUUGACAACUAUCUGUAAGAGAAGUAAUUCUGUAAGGGCUCGUUUGAAUUGGAAGAUUCCAACAAUGCAGGGAUAGGAAAUAGACAGGAAUAGGAUAGGAAUGCACAUGCAAAACAGAGAAUUUAAAAACACAGGAUUUCUGCCAAUCUGGGUGUUUGAUUCACAACAAUUGGAGAUCACAGGAUGCAAAGAAGCAUGGUGAGAUUAAGUCAAACCACAAGAAGAUGUACGGUUAUAAUGCUAUUAUGCUACUAUCUCUUAGUCUUGUGCUUCAUGAAUAGGAAUUUGAAAAGGAGGACAAGUGAAAAUUAAAAUUCCUACGUUUUUUCUUUCAUGGAGACACUAAAGGAACAAAUCCGUGUGCUCAGUGGACAAUAUAUAUAACAUGUAGAGUAAAAAAGAGAUGCAACAAGUGUACAACCUCUUUGGCGAAGCCAUGUCGAUCUCAGCGUGAUUGGGUUGGCCAGUGAGGAUGCUCCGGCUGACUUUGCUGUCGGAAGAGGGGAAGAAGAUCUUAGGCGUCUGGAGAUGGAGCCCGAGGUACUGCUCCGCUGUGAUGGAGGGUUUCGUCGUUGGAGCAGCUCCGGUGAGUUGUACGACGCCGAGGCUGAAGCAGGACAAGAGAGACAAUGAACAACGUUAACAUGAGUGGAAUUCUAAUAGCAUGUCCAAUACAUGACGUAAAAUACAUAACCACAAAGUGCUAGAUGUAACAUACAUCAGUCGCUCAUCUCUAAACUUAACUAUCGAAACUGAACUUAACUGUCGAAACUGAACUUAACUGUCGAAACUGAAUUUUGCUGUCGAAACUGAAUUUUGCUGUCAAAACUGAACGCACUAGCAAGGUGAGGCUACACGUCGGUCGACUGACUUUUUCAUCUCUGGUCAGUCGAUUUUACAGCCGUUGGAUACGAAAUCAAGGGCCUGCGGUUCAUCUUCAACCUCCACCCCCUGAGCCGCCAGCCACCACCGGCCAAACAGCAGCCCCCCGCCGCCCCGCCCGCCCUGAAAACACUCCCCACCGCCGGUCCGCCGCCGCCCCGGCCAUCCCUCUAGGCCCCCCCAGUGCCGAGCUUUUUCUCCGGCGAUCCCCACGCCAGCGCCCCGCCAGCGCCCCGCCACCGCCGGCGACCACCGCCCCCAUCCUGAACCCUAAGAUAGAUAGUGGAGUACCUCUCCGGNNNNNNNNNNNNNNNNNNNNNNNNNNNNNNNNNNNNNNNNNNNNNNNNNNNNNNNNNNNNNNNNNNNNNNNNNNNNNNNNNNNNNNNNNNNNNNNNNNNNNNNNNNNNNNNNNNNNNNNNNNNNNNNNNNNNNNNNNNNNNNNNNNNNNNNNNNNNNNNNNNNNNNNNNNNNNNNNNNNNNNNNNNNNNNNNNNNNNNNNNNNNNNNNNNNNNNNNNNNNNNNNNNNNNNNNNNNNNNNNNNNNNNNNNNNNNNNNNNNNNNNNNNNNNNNNNNNNNNNNNNNNNNNNNNNNNNNNNNNNNNNNNNNNNNNNNNNNNNNNNNNNNNNNNNNNNNNNNNNNNNNNNNNNNNNNNNNNNNNNNNNNNNNNNNNNNNNNNNNNNNNNNNNNNNNNNNNNNNNNNNNNNNNNNNNNAAAAGUCGAUUCAGUCGACUGAAGUGUAGCUAAAUCGGAGCAGCAUCGCAAGCAAGAGCAAGAGCGAGAGCAGCAGCGCGAACAAGAGCAAUAGAAAGAGCAGACCAGGCAGAGGACCGAGAGCAAGAGCAGAGCAGCAGCGCGAGCGAGAGCUAAAGCAGCAGCAGCUCCUACUGAUGUGGACGUCGCCGCCGAGGGAGCGACGCCGUGGAGGAAGUGGCCGGCGAUGCCGCCGUGGAUGGAGCCGCGCCGUGUCGACUCGGGACCGAGCGCCGGCAGCACCGUGAGAUCGAAUCAAGAAGAAAAUGCGGCGAUUAGUGUACAACCUCUUUGGUGGCGCCGAUUAGGCCGCAUCUUCAUCCGAGGAAACGGUGAUGAUGAUGCUCUUCCGGUGGUGCAGGUGAAGAUGGCGGUGUGGGAAUGGAGGUGGCGCAAAAGACGAGGGGAACGUCGGGGCAGCUCCUUGGAGGUGGAGGACGGGGUGGCUGAACCGGCGGGACGUUGAGAUCGACGAGAGAUCCUCAUCCGGUACGGUGGAUGAGGGACGUCGAGGUGUUGCUGUGGACGACGUCGUCGGGGAAGAGGCUCUGGCUGGGUGGCGGACGGAGCAGGGUGUGGGGAUUCGUCGCGGGUUUUCGCGGCGUCGGUGUACGAAUGGGUGGGCGGAUGGGAUGGCAGUGGGGAACCAUGGCUUAGAGAUGCGCUUGUCUGAAAUGUGGGGUAAGUUACAAAAGUACCCCCACCGAUUUGAGGCGGUUCUUUCGGUUCAGGGGUACCACGGGCAUUUCGCAUGUCGGGAUUUCACAGGUGGUGGGAGUUUUCACGCACAUUGUAAUUUCGGAAUAGCAAGGCACGGGUUGAGAUGGAGGGAGUUGUCGGAGCACAACGAGACAAAGAUAUAUCUUAAAUAUUUCGGGCUAACAAGGCGCGGGUUGAAAUUUCUGGACAAGCCUAACAUGUACUGUACCAAAUCAAUGUGCACUACAAAUGUCACUCAAAACUUUGAAUUCAUGUUAUGUUCAAUUAAAAUAUUUCGCUACGUGUAUAAUGCAUGCAACCUACUACUCAAAUGAACGUUUUAGUGCAUUCCAAACGUAUAUACUACCGCUUCAAUAUGAACUAAAUUUGAAUUUGUUUCUCUAUUUGAAUAAGAUCUACAGUAAUGAUUGUUGUGAAGUCAAAGCAUUUGAAUUCGUUUCUCUGUUUUAAUAAGAUCGACAAGCAUCAUUAUUGUCAAGGUAAACCAUCGUUUGUGUAUUAUCUUCACAGCACACCACAUGAUUAGUCUCGAGUUACAUAUGAACUAUGUGUACUAUAUGAACUCGAACUAGAUUUUUUGAAUCCACUUUAUUUUGAUUUCAAAUCACAUUACAUUUCUAGCUCUAGCUAGAUCUUCAUAAUCUAAACCAUGUCUCAUAUGUAUAAUGUGUUUACCACAUUAUGUAUGGUGCCCCGCCCCCUACGCCUACAAGUAUUUAGAUGUGAGUUGCAAACACCACACAUUACCACAAAUUCAAAUAAAAUGUGAGAAUGUUCGAUAUAUAGUAUUGUUUAGAUUGUUCGAUAUUUAGUUGUAAGCUGCAAACGCCACACAUUAUCACAAAUUCAAAUAAAAUGUGAGAUUUUUUGAUGUAUAGUAUGGUUUAGAUUGUUCGGCAUUUAGCUGUGAGUUGCAAACGCCAUGCAUUAUCACAUCAUGGUAUAACAUGUGCACAACACGUGUAUCACCGCUAUAUUCAUGCAUGCAAUGUUUAAAACACUAUGAUCUCCUAUUCAAAUAUAUGAAUCCGCUUUCAUAUCAAAUUAUGAUCUUUGUUAGUCUCUUACACCCACACAAUCCUCUAACCUUUGUAGCUACCACUAACUUUCUCUCGUGCAUGCACACGCCCUCCUCGCCCUCCCCCUCCCUCGGCAUUCUAUCCACCGGGCACAUUCAUUUUUUUUCUUUAGGUCGUUCUCCCAGAGUCUCCACAACUCCUUUUCGACACACACCAAUCGAUAAACCUCUCCAACGAUGCCUGCCUACAACAUACACACACACCUUCAAUCUCGUCCUUUAUGUGUCCUUGCCUCGUGUCUCUCAUACGGUCAGACACACAUGUAAACUCUCGCCCCUCUUUUCAUCGAUCUCACAACCACACACUCCUCCCCCUAUCUAGCUAGUAGUUGGGCCUCUCGCACCACCUCCUAGCUCCAUUCUCUCCGUCUAUCCGUCUCGCUGGGCCUUAUUUGCCUCUAACAAAUGGACGUACACUGACCGAUCUCUCGCUAUACAUAUAGCUAGCUAGGUCCUUAUAACUCGUUUUUACCCACACGUCAAUCGAUCUACCUCAUUAGUUGUGUCUCUCCCUUCCUCCGACAAACAACAAUUGAUCUACCGAUCUAGUUAGGUUUGCUUACCAAACACAUGGUUCCCGUUCAUCAUCCAUGGAUGCAUCCCGACAGAUCUAUCACUCACAGGCACACACAGAAACACAUCCCCACUCUUAUUGAUAACAUUGCAGUUCCACCCUCAGUUUGUCUAGUAGGCCUUUCCCACCAUCUUCGAGAAGCAACUCCAUCACCCAUCCAACACUCUACCCCUCUCCCUCCAUCUCCCUCCCUCUCUCUCUCCUCUCUCUCUCUCUCUGUCCCAUCAUAUUUCCCGUCCUUCAGUUAUGUAUGGAUGUCAACCGAUCUCCCUCAAGACAUAGCUGGGUCUCUCCUUCUCAACACAUAUACGAGUCGUUCUANNNNNNNNNNNNNNNNNNNNNNNNNNNNNNNNNNNNNNNNNNNNNNNNNNNNNNNNNNNNNNNNNNNNNNNNNNNNNNNNNNNNNNNNNNNNNNNNNNNNNNNNNNNNNNNNNNNNNNNNNNNNNNNNNNNNNNNNNNNNNNNNNNNNNNNNNNNNNNNNNNNNNNNNNNNNNNNNNNNNNNNNNNNNNNNNNNNNNNNNNNNNNNNNNNNNNNNNNNNNNNNNNNNNNNNNNNNNNNNNNNNNNNNNNNNNNNNNNNNNNNNNNNNNNNNNNNNNNNNNNNNNNNNNNNNNNNNNNNNNNNNNNNNNNNNNNNNNNNNCACUGAUACAUCGAGCGCUCUAGUCAUGUCUCCCUGCCACACACAAACUUGACAUGUGCCCUCUAACGUUCCGGUAGGCCAGUCGCCCUAUAUCUUUGACUUGCACACACACAAUUUCGAUGGCUCUCUUCAUCGAUCUCGCACCCACCCACUUGAUCCUCUCUUCGACUCUAUCGAUAGCUAUGACCCCUCCCUCUCUUCUCGUGGAUUGCCCGACCCUCUAUGUAUGAUAUGGAUAGGCCUCCAUUUCACACACAUUGCAUGCAAAAAUUUGUUAGAGAUGUCAUCGACACAUAUUCCCACAAAUAAUUCACGAAAUCAACCCUCACCCCACCCCCUACCCCAAAACAAAAAACACUCACGAACGCGGUUUGUAUCUCUCACACACACCCACGUAGGUGGGGGACGUGCACGAAGAGAAGAGGUGCAUGCACGGCGCACGUACUCCCGUCUCUUUCCCAACCACACCCGCGCGGGUACACGGUGGAGCUCAUUUCUGUACGAAAAAGGUAGCCCACGUGGUAAUUUGGCACGUGUACUGGUUGUCCACUUGGUGGAGGGAGGAUCGUCUACCACGGGUGAACAAACAAAUUGCGACUUGACGUGUUAUGUUCAAAAAGAGGCAAACCAUGUGGGGCCUACCUUAGAGGCAAGGCUCUAUACACUGGAGUACUUUUGAUGUGUCCCGUCAACUCGCAGAACCAGGAGAAGCUUGCUUAGUACGCCGUCUCCCCCGCCCACGGGCGCGGUGGCUUGCAGGAUGAGGUGAAGCUUGCUCCGCCUUACGCCCGCUCCCUCGCCCAUGCGCGCGGUGGCUCGCAGGAGGAGGAGAAAAAUUUACUACUCCCUCCGUUUACUCCUCGUCCCUACUACCUUGGUUAUAGAGAUUAUAUCAUAUUGUUUGGAAUAUAUAUGUCCUUUAGUAAAUUUCAAUAUGAACUACUAGUACAUACUCCAAACACUGAUGUAUAUAGACGUAUUUUAGAGUGUAGAUUCACUCAUUUUGCUCCGUAUGUAGCACUCUCCCUCGCCCCUCGACCCUCGCCCACGUGGUGGGCAUGCAGCAAUUCAUUCGGUCUCAUAUAGCCAGAACGAUAUAUACUGCACUACCAUUAUUGCUUGACUUCCCGAAGAGGCAAAGAGCCAAUCGCAAGGUUAAUAUUUUGGAGAUGCCAAGCGCAAGGUUAUAGGAGAACGAGUAGUAGGUGCCGCGUCAUUUAUAAAUAAAGUUUUUUUCUUCCGUGGCACGUAUGCAAUAUGAUAGGUUCAUAUCGAGAGAAAAGGAAACCGCUCCACUAUAUACAUAGUCAGGACGGGCCAGCCUACACGGUUGCUUGUUGGGGUUGCUCUCUUCACACUCUCUCGCACAAAAUGACUGUGGCCACAUCUCUAACAUCCCGGCGGAUCACGUCCGCUUGGGGAAGGGGUGGAUGCUUAGUGUAGAUGCGGUGGCCGUCGCCGACGGCGAAAACCCACUGUCGGCAUGUCCCGAUCAGGGGUCCCCGCCAUUCUCUCUCAUAAUGCCAGUGAGGUUGCAUUCGUCCCUUGCUCACUGCCGCGACAUGGGCAGUUGCCGCCUCCCGCCGCCCUCCUCAAGGUUGAGCUACGUCCCUCAGGUACAACUCCCUUUACAGUCGGCUUGCACCACUGCUCCAGCUGCCCACAUCACUCCCUGUGGAUAUUUCUCUACUUCUUUGCCCCGCACAUACCUCUACUGGCUUCUACGUACUGUAUUUGUGAUGAGUUUAUGUCUCACCAACUAGUCCCAGUAAUAUUAUUCUAAUCACGCUUCUUCAAUUUCUUUGCCACAGGGAUGCUCAGCUCGAUUUUGGUGAAACUGCACAAAAUGAUCCGAUGGUCAAAACGUUGCAAACUUCAUUUAUUAGGAAGCUCGAACGUUGCCAGCAAAUUGAAGCCUAGUCAGGGUUCACGGUUCAAGGGCUAGGGACUGCAUGGAUCAUUUUUUUCUUUAGCUGCCUCUGUUCCAAAAUAAUUGUCAACUUUAGUAGUAGUACAACUUUGUACUAAAGUUUGCACAAAGUUGAGACACUUAUUUUGGAACAGAGGGAGUACAUAUUUGCUAUGAUCUGUCAAUCAUUGAGAUGCAAUAGCAUGCAUGUUAGUCUCCUUUGUAUUUGAUGAAAUGUUGCAACGGGCAACCUCGGACGCAAGAUACAUGUAACAGAAGCUGGAAGCUUCAUAGCAUUGUACAAAUUUAUCUCGCUGAUAAAUUACAGUAUGUACUAUACUAGUACUUCCUCCGUUCCUAAAUAUAAGUCUUUGUAGAGAUUUCACCAUGAACCACAUGCGGAUGUAUAUAGAUGCAUUUUAAGUGUAGAUUCAUUCAUUUUGUUCCGUAUGUAGUGGAAUCUCUACAAAGACUUAUCUACUAGUAAUAGCUAGCCCCCACUACUAGGAAUUCUCUAUCCUCUCCUUGAGCCACAUCAUCAAAAUUGAUGUAGCCGUUAGAUGAAGUAAAUCAGUCCAUAAUAGCCGUCUGGUCUAGACGUUGAGAGACUCCGCACAAAGCCACAUGCAAGCAUGCAGAAAUACCGUGGCACAUGCAUGUGAGUGGGUUUUAAAUCACAUCAACAUGUCUGCAUGCACCGGUAGCAUGCAUGUAAGUGAGCUUUUAAGUCCCAUUAACAUGUCCAAAAGAAAAGUAUAAUCCCAUUAUGCAGUAGGAGUUGGCUGAUCUUUUUUCCUUACGUGGGAUGAUCUAAAUGUUGAUGGGAGUUUAUUUAGUUUGGCUACCACAUUUGUCAUGCGGUUAUAGAGUUUUUUUUAGUUCUAUGAAAUCGAUAAUUUUGCGCAGAGAGAUAUACCGCUGUUCCGCGGCAACGCGCGGGGACUCAUCUAGUUAUAUUUAGGAAUGGAGGGAGUACUAUGUAAAGAGUUAGGUGUCGCACGGUGAUAGUGUGAGGUGGGCCAUGUAAUCACUAAGCCUGUGUGUUUUCACUGCUCUUGCACGCCUCCGCUGUAAGAAUGGAGAAAAUUGUAAUCGAGUAGUAGUACCUCCUUUCGCCGAAAGCGUGGGACAUCCAGCAGUCCUACCAUCUCAGUAAUAAAGACCAAUGAGCCAUCAAAUCACAUAGACUCAGUAGUAAGUUGGACGGACGAAGCAACCAUCACUCUUGCACCAGUGAGAGGUCGCGUCCGCUCUACCCGGGCAUGAAUGCGGCACCGAUUCUUUGGAGCGGCGCUGACCGUUUCGGGCGGGAAGCGCGCGCGGGCGAUGGAGGGGCUUUGGGUGGGCCAGGCUGGUCAGGAGCGGGCGUGGCAGCUGUCCACAUGUCCCUACCGGACACGCCUGGAAACGAGAGGAUGCACCGACUCUCGCGGCUAAAAUCGUACUACACUACACAACAUCUCUCUGUAGGAGUAGGUCGAUCUGUCGCUCUCUCUAACACAAACAUGCUGUUAAACACACACACACACACGCACAUGCAUGCACAUUGGUCCCGUUGCACCUUCUAACGUGACUUAUUACACCUAGAUGGAUGGAGUAGUAAGUAUACGAGAUACGGUGGCACACUGACUUAAGUCGAAUACAAGUGCGCAAAAUUUGUGUGCAUGUUAUAAUAAGGAUUCACUUAAAAUAGUACGUGAGCGAACAGAGGGAUCAAUUGGUCAGUGUUCCCGAGCAGUAGCGAGAUCUGUGAGGUAGGAUACACCGCUGGCACUUUUAAUUUUUCUUAUUAAUUUGUUUGUUUCACCCUCUGACUGGUGGGACCCAAUGUACUACGUGGAGAGAGGUAAGGUGACUAAGGCUGCAUUAUUUCUGCACCACUGUGGAUAGUCUUACCACCAAAGCCACAUGACACAAUUAUGAUUGAAAUCCCAAUGACUCCCACACACACAAAAAAAACACGGCAUGCUUGUCACACGAAUGCAGGAAUGUAUAAAAGGUUAUUUCCCUCUCGUUGAACAUAACGGGAGGGUUGUGUAGCUGGUUAGCCUGUUCGCUCGUCAAACUUGAGGUCUCGGGUGGAUUCUUUGACUAGUCAAAAUGUUUUCUAGGGUUUGCACGCUUCACACUCUCUCUCCAGUAUAUAUAUACAUGCUGGAGCCUCAGCGCUUGUAGUUGCUCUCUUCACACUCUCUCGCCCUCUCCCGCUGGAGCCUCAGCGCUUGUAGUUGCUCUCUUCACACUCUCUCGCCCUCUCCAGAUCUAAACAAGACUUCGUUGGCCUCUCUCUCCCCCCUCACUGCUGCUCAAAGAGCCGGCAGGAUCCAUCCGCCGGGAAGGGAAGGAGGCUUAACGCUGUCGCCGGCAGCUGUUCACUUUCCACCCAGCGGCGGCGCGGGAGGGCCUCCGACCCCUUCUUUACCGCCAUCCCGUCGCCCACCGAACCACGCCCCAAGAACCUUAAGGUAUAAUUUACUUACUCCACAUGCAUUGCUCUAGCUGCAUGUAUACCAUGAAUCUAGGACGUGGUUCAAAGAGGAAAGGAGUGGGGGAAAGUUGUGGGAAAAGUUGUAUAUAGCAUGAAUCUAGGACGUGGUUCAAAGAGGAAAUGAAGGGGCAAAGUUGUAUAGCAUGAAUCUAGGACGUGGUUCAAAGAGGAAAGGAAUGGGGGAAAGUAGUGAGGAAAGUUGUAUCGCAUAAAUCUAGGACGUGGUUCAAAGAGGAAAGGAAGGGGUGAAAGUACUAGUUCAAAAAGGAAAGGAAGGGACAAGGCUGUAGAGUUUGAGCAGGACUAGAUUUGCUGCGCUCACAUAGGGAAAGGUGUCUAAAGAUAACAAAACUGGGACCAACACAAAUAUGCUCCUUGGUUGUUUGUUCUUUGUUGCAACAGACUGUGCAUGACCACAGUACAUCGGUAGAUGCACAUGGUGCUGGUGCGUCCACUGUCCCGUGCAACUCAUUAGCUGUUGUUAAUCUAAGGCCCUGUUUGGUUAAAAACUCCCUAGUCCCUACCUGCUUGGUUCCAGGGACUAAACAUGGACUAGAGGUUAUUAAAUGACAUGCUAAAAGACCAUGUUACCCCUAGUAAUGAACUAAUAGAGACAAGGUGCGAUGCAUGGCAGGGGUAACUGUUGGAAAAAGUCCCAAAAAGACCCUCUCGGGGUCUUCUUUCUUUAGUCCCAAAUGCCCACUUUUAGUCCCUAAAAGUCCCUCCUGUUUGGUUUAGAUGGGACUGACACGGAGUUUUUUUAGUCCCUACACCAAAAUGUCCCUGUAAACAAACACCCUCUAAUAAUGCCGCUGGAAAAUUGAUGCAAUGCCACGGUUAAAAGCAAAUUACAUGUUUAACGAAUUUUAUUGUUAAUAUAAUCUCUAUGUUAAUAUUAAUCAAUGCCACCGUUUGAGAAAUGCUACUCUCUUGCUUUCUUUCCCAUUUAGAUAAGGUAGAUGCUUCUUUUUGUUGGCUUCUGUGUCAUCCACCGUUAUUGACCACUAAUUGUUUCCUUUGCACCUCUGUGUAAACAGGAUUAUCUACUUCACCUUGUUGCCAUUGUGACCUUUUGUUGCACUGCACAAAACACUUUUGUUUUAAGAGUGUUUUGUGCAGUUCAACCAAAAUGUCACACCGACAACGUUGCUUCAUUGCUUGAUCUUAGUGGAACUGUACAAGAGGAGAUCUUACUUCCUAUCCAUUAAGGCGAAUUUGGUUCAGAUCUUCUUCUUGUGAGUUGUUUGAAUUCCGCAUCAUGAGAGGUUAGUACUAGCCUUCUUUCACAUGAUUCUGCAGUGUGCUUUCAUAUGUUGUUCUACUUGUACGAUAAUGUUGCUUGAUUUUAGUGAACUGCAGAAAUGGAGACAAGACUUCCAAUCUGUAUGUGCACCGUAAUAUCCCAUUGAGUUUAGUACUAUACUUGUGCUCCCUAAUUGACAUGCCAAAUCUCACAUUGAAGGCGAAGCUUGUCUGUUAUUGAACCAAGUGAUGAAGGGGAAGAACAAGCGGAAGAAAAACAAAAAUCAACUCCCGGUGCUGUAAUGAAGCACUGGAACUAUGAUGACACAAGUAAUGAUAUAGUUUUGCAUCUUAAUUUAUUGCUAUGGCUGGAACGAGCAAUUGUUUUGCCACUGAUUUGAUGCCACUCUUAAUGUAAUAUGUAAUUAUCUCUACUUGUGCAAACAGGGAUCUUCUUUGAAGAUACCAUAUAUUUUAGUGCAACUGCACAAGAAGAUGUUGGAAACAUUAAACUAAUUGAGGAGUAUAUAGUAAGCAUGGCCACCAUCGUAGAUAGCAACAGAUGGUUCCGGAGAAGUGCUUCAUCUGUAUGCUCUACACAAUAAGCCUCCUGACAAAGGUUGGUACUCGCCCACUGAUUUCAUCCAUAUGAUUGAGCUUUGUCAUCUCUAUUGGUGUUGUGCUACUGUUUAGAUACUGUCAUGAAAAAGUGGUAUUGUCCUUGAGAAGUGCUUCAUCUGUGCUGUUUUAAAUAUUUCCUUUCCUUUUUUUCGAGCAAACAGGGAUGCUAGCAUUUAGUAGUCCUCUUGUCUUUACACAACAGGAUCAUCUUCCUCUGAAGAAGAAUAUGGAGUACGUGAAGUGACUAGUUCCGAUUAUGCCAGGAUGAUGAAGCCAGGUCUAUCUUCUCAUCAGAAGGAGCAGUUGAAGGAUGGUUACAUUACUCCCCACAAGACCAAACUAACUUCAGCUCAGAAGGACUGACAAAUCUCCAUUUUUUUGUUGUGAUGCGCGAGUACAAUGUUGUUCUAGGAUUCUUUCUGGUGAGUUCCAUUUUUCUAAAAGUGUGCUCUACAUGGACCAUGUAUGUGCCUGUUGAAACUGUCAAUUCAUAGUACAGUUUGCUUUAUACUAAUCACUUUUAUGUAUUUGUGCAAACAGGGGUGCUCAGCUUGAUUUCAAUGGGAACUGCACAAAAUGUUCAAGAAUACAUCGAAUCAUUCAUUUCCACCACAAGAAAGGAGGUGCCGAUAAGUUCAAGGCGGUGCAACAUAUGAGGGCGAAAUCAUACAAGAUACGCGCGAAUUUGGUUGAUUUUGGUGGAAUUGCACAAAAAGAACAUCUGGUUUAUUUAGCACGAGGUGCCAUGUCAAUGUCCGAACUGAUGGCAAACCCUGCCCAUUCCACAAUCGUAGGCAUUUGAUAUUUUGGAAUGGGACAACCUUGUCAAAUUUUGCUCAUUGAUUUUAGCAAGACAUGCGUUUCAUAUUUUUGAAUGGGACGCCCUUUGCUGUCAGCAGCGUCGAUCAAUUUUUUCUUUAUUCUUUAGUUGUGAAGUAAAUAUUGCCUCUGACAUGUGAGUCGCUGAGAUGCAUAAUCAUCGAUUGUUUUGAAUGUUCUCUAUGAAUUGCCAGGCCUGUGUGUUUGAUUGCAAUGUACAGAAACGCUAAAAAGCUGCUCAAACUCUUUGUACUCCUUCUGUUCCUUUUUACUUCGCACAUUGUGAAAGCACAUACCUUUUUGUAUAAAAUUGGUCAAAGUAGAGAUACUUUGACUGCAGACAAAACUUGUAUGCAGACAAGAAAGGACCGGAGGGAGUACAUGUGAAACUGCUGCAAACAAGGUGAUCACCCUGGGAAUAAUGCUAGUACGUAUUGUUUUGCAUGUUCAUCCAAUGCCAGUGAUAUAGGAAUUCGAACUAAUCGAAAUAAAUUCAUUCAUACACGGUCGGAUUUCAUAUAAACAUGCCGGAUUUCAUUACAUUUCAUACAUUCUUCAACUAAAAAGGGGUGCGUUGGAGGUAUAAUUAAUUAACCGAAGCUACCCACCCAUGUCCCGCUGAGCCGAACAGAAGCUUCAGUGACUUAACUGCAGGUGCAGUUGUGUAACUGACAUGUGGCCUAUUGGGCCCAUGUGUCAGUCAGCCAACUGCACCAGUAGUUAAGUAGAAGCAGCGUUCUUCUCCAGCGCAGCUCUCUGACUCCACGUCGCCGCCAAGAAGCUAACCGGCUGUCAAUGGUCAACCCACCUAGCUUGGCUUCAACCGUAGGGUAGCAGUGGUGGCCUUACUUGGACCCGAGUGGCGGCGACCUACCGUGUUCUACUCUUCCUCGUUUUCUGUGUGGUGCGGCCUUGUUGGCAGCGGGGCGGGGACUCGGCGGAGCCGGCGAUGUCCUCUGUCUCGUUGCCGGCGGGCGGCGCCUCAGCGGAGCGGUGGAAAUCCUCCCCCACAUUGCCGGCAGGGUGGGGCCUCGGCUAAGCCGGCGAUGUCCUCUGCCUCGUUGUUGGCGGGGCGGGGCCUCGGCGGAGCCGGCGGUGUCCUCUGCCUCGUUGUUGGCGCCACGGGGCCUCAGCGGAGCACGGCCUCGUCGACGCCAGCGGAGCGGGGACUCGUCGGAGCCGGCAUUGUCCUCUGCCUCGUCCUCGGUCUCGCCAAACAGCGCCUCGCCCGCUUCAUCGCCCUCUUCGCUAGCCUCUUUGUAGGCGGCCGCAGCCUCCGUCACCCGCAUGCGGUACCGCCAGCGCUCGAGGCGGCCCUUGCGGGCGGAGCGGUACGAGUCGAGCAGCGCCUCCUGCUCCGCCCGCUCCGCGGCGAUCUACUCCUCCGCUUGCAGGUGCUCCUGGAGGAGAUGGUGGUUGUAGGCGGCGUCGGCCUGCGCCUCACGAAACUGCUCCUCACGCAUCUGCCUCACCCUGUCCAUAUAUUGGGCACGGGCCUCGCCGAUGGUGAUGGUGCAAUGCACCGGCGAGGAUGGCGCGGAGGAGGGGGUUGGCGCCGGAUCGUCGACAACCAUGUUCUCCAUUGGGACGUCGUCGUCCUCCGGCUACCUGCCGGCCAGCCGGUCGGCAGCAAUGGCUGCCAUCUCCUUGUGGUCCAUCGUCUGCCCGUCCCGAAGAACGCUGGAGCGCGAGGAAGCCAUGGUGGGCAGUAGUGGUGUGGACAGGAGAAAGGGAACGGAUGUGGAUGACUGCGGUUAUGGCCGGCGCAGCAGUUUAUAUAGCAAUGGUGGGCGGGCGGAGGGACGGGCGUGUGGCGCCGGAGUAGCCGCCUCGGCAACCGCGUAUCAUUAAUGUGGGCGGCAGAUGGACGGACGGAUGACACUUGUGUCGUGUGAAGGCGGAGCAAUCGCCUGCACCGGGAAGCGGGGCGGGCGGCGCUGACUGUUUCGUGCAGAAAGCGCGCGCGGGCGAGGAGAUGACUUUACUUGGAGAGGAUGACAAUGGGGACCCACCAGGUCCGUAGCCUCACGUAUGCAAGUGCCUCCUUAUUAUAUAUAUAUAUAACUAUAAUUUAUUUUGCUUCCUCCUGGUUUCCUGACAUCACGGUCCCACACCAUUGUCAACCUAUGUAGUAGUCAAUAAACGAGAGAAUUGCACAAGAAGCGGCCAACAGUUGGGACCAAGCAGCUCGAGCAGUAUUUGUGUUUUUGAGGUGUGAGCACUGCAGAGUUUUUCGAUGUUUAGCCCAGAUAUUAAUUUUUCUCCUCUGAACAACAACGAAAACAUCACUGCAGGUAUUAACUGGGCGGGCUAUGGCCCGUCUAGCCCAGGCCAGAUAUCCAGCCUAGAUAUUAAUUUUUUUUCAAGCUGAAAAUGGCUAGCCCAGCUAUACUUUUUUUAGGAAUACCUAGGCAAGGUCAAGUUGUUAUUCUCUGCCCCGCUGGGCUGCAAAUCUUUCCUAGGAGGGAUGCAUUAGGCUUAACAAGAAAAUGGGCUUUAAGAAAUAAUAAAUGGGAUGUAAUUAUAAAAACUGGGCAGUAACUAUAAAAAAUGCAUCAAACAUGUGAUUACUUUAUAAAAUAUUAUUUUUGGAUAUUGAAAAUUUUAAUUUCAUUAAUUGUUGCGAGCGCAAUGUUUCGUUGGAUUUUUACGUAAUAUAAAUUUAUAUUGAAAUUGUAUUUAAUCUGACUAGAAAUUUUUGGAUAAAAAUAUUUCGGAUCCCAUCAAAAUGUGGGAAAUUUUAUUGAAUUCUGUUUUGAACGAUUGGUUGAAAUGGGUUGUACUUUUAACAAACUGUAAAUGGGCUGUAGUAAAUUCCAUUAGAAUUCAAAAAUGGGCUACACAUUCUUACAAAUCUCAAAUGGGCUGUAAGUUCUCUGCCACACACUUCUGGCCUUACUAAGUUGAUGCGUCCCCUAAAAAACAGAGUUGACGCGUAUGCAAGGCUUUGUCAACUUAUAGUCAACACACGGUUCUAGCUGCAGUGGCCGUUAGAUGUCCAUCCAACGGAUGUCGUGCUUCUUCUUCAAUCUCGGAUAUUCUAGCUUCACCCGCCCAAAAAUGAUUCCUCCCCCUGACAUCUGGGGCGCACCGUUUCGGAAGCUGGCCUGUGGGCCUACUAAGUUGACGUACCAAGGGCUUUGUCAACUUAGUCAAUAUAAACGAUUCUAGCUGCAGUGACCGUACGAUGUCCAUCCAACGGCCGUCGUGCUUCUUCAACCUCUGGUCUUCUUGCUCCAUCCGCCCAAAGCAGCGCCGGUCGUGCCGCCUGCUCCUGCCUCCCGUGGCCGGCUGUGCUGCCGCGGAGGCCUCACCGCCCCCUACUACUCCCACCGUUGGCCAGGCCAUCCCUCCACUCACCCACACCCCCUGUUAUUCUGCGGCGACGGCAGCGCAGCCGAACCAGUGAACCCUCGCACACCUCUCCGCGUGUGCAUCCACUGCCGCGUCUUCCCCAGCUCCGCGUCAUCCCCUUCCUAGGCGUCGCCGUCGUCCACCGCCAUGGUGUUCUUGGCGCGGCGUGGUCAACGUGGUCAAGGAACGACUUCCAUCGGACAUGGACUGUACGUGGAGAGGCUGAUAGCUAGGUCCACGGCAGCCGCAAGGAAGUGCCUCCUUAUUACGCGGAAAAUAAUUAUUCCUCCACCUGACAGCGGGGACCCACCGGACGGCCACCAGUAUUUUGCGAAAAAAAUUGUUUCCCCCUGACUGCUGGGACCCACCGGAUGGGCCAUCGUAUUUCGCGAAAAAAAACGUCCCCCCCGCUGUCAGCUCGGACCCACCGGAAGUGCCUCCUUAUUACGCACAAAAAAAUGAAUACUCCCCCGGCUAGCUGGGACCCACCUUGGUGGGAGGCUGACUUGUGGGCCUACUAAGUUGACGGGGACGAAGGGCUUUGUCAACUUAGUCAAUAUGAAUGAUUCUAGCUCCAGUGACCGUACGAUGUCCAUCCAACGGCCGUAGUGCUUCUUCAACCUCUGGUCUUCUUGCUUCAGCCGCCCAAAGCAGCCCCGGUCGUGCCGCAUGCUCCUGCCUCCCAUGGCCGGCUGUGCUGCCGCAGAGGCCUCACCGCCCCCUACUAUUCCCACCGCUGGCCAGGCCCUGCGGCGACGGCAGCCUCACACCGCAGCCGAACCAGUUAACCCUCGUACUCCUCUCCGCGCGGGCUUCCACUGCCGCGUCUUUCCCGGCUCUGCGUCGUCCCCUUCCUAGGCCUCGCCGUCGUCCACCGCCGUGGUGCUCUCCGCGCGGUGUGGCAACGUGGUCAAGGAACGAUUUCCAUCGAAAGAGUACUGUACGUGGAGAGGCUGACAGCUGGGUCCACGGCCACAGCCCAGUUUUUUUCUGAUUUGCCAAGUAAGUCACUUUGUCAGGCCUGUUGGGCUGCAAAUCUUUCAAGACGAGGAGAGCUUUCAUUCGGCUGGCCGAGAAAAUGGCCCAUCAGUAAUGAGAAAUGGGAUGUACAUUUUUAAAACACAUCAAACCGGCAAUUAGUUUCAAAUAUCUUUUUUUCAUUUCAAAAUUUUAAAUUACAUUAAUUUUUAUGCGUGGAGAAUUUGUUGGAUUUUAUAUUGAUAUACAUUUAUUUUUAAAAUUAGUUUGAAUGUGAGUCGAAAUUUCGGGAUUAAAAACAGUUCGGACUGCACCGAAAUAUGCAAAAUUUCGUAUAAUUUUUUAACCGUGGCCACAAUAUGGGCUGUAAUGCUAACAAAAAGAAUAUGGGCUCCAAAAAAACCUUAAGAAUUAGCAAAUGGGCUGUAAAUUAUUAGAAAUAAUGGCAGAUGGGUUGUAUGUUGUUUUCCACAUAUUUGAGGCUUUCCUAAAAAAAGGUUGACGCACAAGCACUGAUUGUUGGAUGUCCAUCCAACGGCCAUCGUGCUUCUUCAAUCUCUGCUCUUCCUGCUCCAGCCGGUCAAACAAGCGCCGGCGGGACUGCCUGCUCCCUCCUCCCCGCGGCCGGCUGUGCUGCCGCGCAGGCCUCACCGCCCCACUGUACUCCCAUCGCUGGCCUAGCCAUCCCUCUACUCACCCACACCUGCUGUUAUUCUCC